GGCCAGACUCCUACGGGAGGCAGCAGUGAGGAAUAUUGGUCAAUGGGCUUACGCCUGAACCAGCCAAGUCGCGUGAGGGAAGACUGCCCUAUGGGUUGUAAACCUCUUUUGUCAGGGAGCAAUUGGCGCUACGUGUAGCGUUAUCGAGAGUACCUGAAGAAAAAGCAUCGGCUAACUCCGUGCCAGCAGCCGCGGUAAUACGGAGGAUGCGAGCGUUAUCCGGAUUUAUUGGGUUUAAAGGGUGCGUAGGCGGACUGUUAAGUCAGCGGUAAAAGCCCGGGGCUCAACCCCGGCGAGCCGUUUGAACUGGCGCGCUUGAGUUCAGGCGAGGUAGGCGGAAUUCGUGGUGUAGCGGUGAAAUGCAUAGAUAUCACGAAGAACUCCGAUUGCGAAGGCAGCUUACCAGUCUGCGACUGACGCUCAGGCACGAAAGUGUGGGUAUCGAACAGGAUUAGAUACCCGUGUA
rnacentral:rRNA from 1 species